AACACAAGAGAUUUGUUUACCCGGUGUUCACCGCACUUCUCCAAUGUGGAGAAGCCGCUAUACAUCACCGGGGAGAGAAUCAUGUCUCUCAAUCCACUAUAAUCAACAUGAUUACAGAGUUCACCAAAGGCCACGCUCACUUCCUUCCUCUCUCUUGGUUACAACUCAACUCAAGAUACAAGAAGAAUAGAGGAAGGAGAACAAGAUAAUGAGCUUAGAUACACUGAGAACCUUCUCUCUCUCUAGCUCUAUCUCUCACCAACCCAAUCUCUCUCUCACCCCAGUCUCGAGCUUUCGCUCUCUCCGUUCUGUUACGGAUCCGUCGAAGAUGACGAUGAUGAAGAUAAGAUGAAGCUUAAAGACGCUUUUGACCUCGCUUGAGUUUAAUCCAUAAACUCAGCUCAC
rnacentral:lncRNA from 1 species